ensembl:piRNA 21ur-7547 ncRNA
UUACAAAAUUUUGAAGGAUCG